UACGUAGGGGGCUAGCGUUGUCCGGAAUCAUUGGGCGUAAAGAGCGUGUAGGCGGCCCGGUAAGUCCGCUGUGAAAGUCGGGGGCUCAACCCUCGAAUGCCGGUGGAUACUGUCGGGCUAGAGUGCGGAAGAGGCGAGUGGAAUUCCUGGUGUAGCGGUGAAAUGCGCAGAUAUCAGGAAGAACACCCGUGGCGAAGGCGGUUCUCUGGAACGCAACUGACGCUGAGACGCGAAAGCGUGGGGAGCAAACAGG
rnacentral:rRNA from 1 species